AGUGAACGCUGGCGGUAGGCCUAACACAUGCAAGUCGAACGGCAGCACAGGAGAGCUUGCUCUCUGGGUGGCGAGUGGCGGACGGGUGAGGAAUACAUCGGAAUCUACUUUUUCGUGGGGGAUAACGUAGGGAAACUUACGCUAAUACCGCAUACGACCUACGGGUGAAAGCAGGGGAUCUUCGGACCUUGCGCGAUUGAAUGAGCCGAUGUCGGAUUAGCUAGUUGGCGGGGUAAAGGCCCACCAAGGCGACGAUCCGUAGCUGGUCUGAGAGGAGCAUCUGCCACACUGGAACUGAGAAACGGUCCAGACUCCUACAGGAGGCAGCAGUGGGGAAUAUUGGACAAUGGGCGCAAGCCUGAUCCAGCCAUACCGCGUGGGUGAAGAAGGCCUUCGGGUUGUAAAGCCCUUUUGUUGGGAAAGAAAUCCAGCUGGCUAAUACCCGGUUGGGAUGACGGUACCCAAAGAAUAAGCACCGGCUAACUUCGUGCCAGCCGCCGCCGUAACAC
rnacentral:rRNA from 1 species